rnacentral:misc_RNA from 1 species
AAGUCGUAACAAGGUUUCCGUAGGUGAACCUGCGGAAGGAUCAUUAAUGAGUUAGGGUCUUCCAGGCCCGAUCUCCAACCCUUUGUAUAACUACCAUGUUGCUUUGGCGGGCCCGUCCUUGACCGGACCGUCGGGGGUCUUCGACCUCUGGCCAGUGCCCGUCAGUAGCCCACAACAAAUUCUUUUUAACCAUGUUAAAUCUGAAAAUAGUUAAAUAAACUAAAACUUUCAACAACGGAUCUCUUGGUUCUG